rnacentral:lncRNA from 1 species
AUGUGGUUCAGUGACGUGGUUGAGUGGCCAAUAUUGAUGGGAGGUGGAAAGUUGGAUCUGUUGGAUCUGAAUGAUUCUGUGAGGAAUCAGGAUGCUGAGGUCGGGGGCAGACGGCUCUGUGUAGUUCUUGUACUGGACGCCCAGUGCCGCUGUUGGCCGCUGCCGAGCAGGGAUAGAAACGAGAACCAGCCGGAUGCUGCCGAGCUGCCGUUCGCUCCGAGAUCUCUAGCAGAAAUAGCCCGGCUGCGCUGGAAUACGUCCCAGUUCAAACCUUUCCAAAGGAUCUGCCGCACGGAGAACCAUCAGGGCCGAGCUCCCCUCUCUGAAGGCACGGCUCCCGGGGCAGCAGAGGAGAAUGCCAGUUUGGAUCAAAGCCCCUGGCUCAGCCAUCAGUAAGGGACAAGGAGAAGCAUCUCGGUCCUCAUGAACAGAAAAACUUCCAAGUGAGAUGAACGAGAGACCCAACAUGCACCAUAAAAGUGACUGGGCAGUUGCCAGAGUUUUCUGUGGGUGGAAGAAUUCCUACCUCUUAAUUCAAUACUUUAUUCUUGUGUUUAUUUUGGAUUUGUGUUAAGUUUGGAGAUGGGCGCAUGCUGGGAACACUGAGAUUUGGUAUCUAACCGUGAUAGUGCUAUUGCUCCUAUGUACCAAGUGAAGAAUUGGACUAAAAUAUUCGGUUGCUCGAGCUUUCGUUUUCCUGCAUCUGCUUUUAUGCGUUCUUUUUGUUGUCUGGUGGGCUCUGUAAUAAUGCAAUCUAUUCAAUACCAGGCCAUGUAGCUGUUCAUCAAAGCUGAAUGUUGCAGACAAAGAGAUUCUUUAGUAACAGUGAGCUGCUGGCUGCCAUAGAGAUGGCUGACAUGGACACAGUGCACAUUCAACCAGGAGUUCCCUUGUUCUGCAUGCUGUAAAUAGUCCUCUUUGGGCACUCUGUUUCUUUUUUAUUCACUUGGUUCUCUUUCCCAAUGUAAAGUCGAAAUGAAGGGUGCAUUACAGGGAUAUCAGGAUUAAUACUGGAGGGAAUUCAGUGCAAUGUGAUACUUCUGGUGUUUUAUGUUAUUCUUGUGCUUCCAAGAGUUGAAUGUUGGUUGACAGAGCCCAAUAAAAUCUACUGAAAAUCUACUGAUAGAGUCUGU